rnacentral:lncRNA from 1 species
CAGAACGCGGGGAGUCUAGGCUCAGAUCGGAGUCGGGAUCCCGGGAAAAUCCCCCAUCUCCCUUGCCCGCAGCCCUAGAAUCCCAGAAACCCAACUCCGCGCAGCUUUCGGUUUGGAGAGCCCGCCCUGGUUUGCAAGCACAGAUACAUGUGCCCACACCCGAACACACGCAGACACCGCCAGAGAGCGAGACAGCGAGCGGGCGCCUCCGUAGCAGCGGCCUGCGGGGCGGAACCGGAGCUGGCGCCGCCUCAAGGGGAAACCGAACUGUAGUGACCGGAAAUGUCCCCAGGACAGAAUAAGCCAUUCCUUCUGUCCACGUUGCCAGGACUUCUCCAGCUCAACACACCUUGGUUUGUUUAAUGUUACACGAGGGAGAAGAUUUAGAGGCAGAGACACAUGCUGGCUCAAUCGGCGAGGAAAUACGAGCAGAGUCUAAACAGAAAGAAAUAUGGAACGGGGGGAGACUAGACUGUGGGGAAGGCAAAUUGGAGGCCCAGAAAAGGGGCUGGUGCGGAAGCUCCUCCAGGCCCCUGGGCGCUCUGGCAUUCUGUGAGAAGGAGAAAGCAGAAGCCGAGAACAGAGAGUGACAGGAAAAGAAAAGAGACGCAGAAGGGGUUGGCCUAGGCACGCUGCGAGCUGCCCUCCAGCUAAGACGCUGCGGGCAAGGGAGGGGGAGGCCGACAUCGCCAGGCGAGGGGCCAAGGUCGGGCUCUUUAACUCAGCCAGGAAACAUCGUUGGGGGCUCCAGGGCUCGUGGAGCCCGAACUGGGGCUCAUUUCCGGCCCGAUGCCCCUCUUCCCCAGACCCCUAGCCCGGAAUCCAGCAAAGGCUGGGCCAUCGCCGUCCGCCACUGGGCCUCCCUCUGUGCGAGCCCUGGGAGAAGCCUCAGGGAACGACUCUGGCACUGGGGCUCGGCCCCGGAGCUAGCGCAGAGCGUGGGUGGGAGUCGACAUCCAGGCAGGAGGCAAAGAAGAGGCCCCGCCCUAAAGCCGAGGGCCCAGUUCUUCGAAAGCCUGUGGCCGGAGCUGGACUCACAGGAUUCGGGGUCCGUACAGCGCGCACGUGGUACCGCAUCUUCGGCAGGCGGCGCCCCUAAUGCCCAGCCCCGCCCUGCUUCGUUUGCCGGGCCUGAACUGUGUCAGCAUUGAGGGUGGACGCCGAGUCGCGGCGAGUUGGUCCCUUGCGGUAUAAACUUGGGGCUUCCCUAGGGGCGGU